UACGUAGGGGGCAAGCGUUGUCCGGAAUCAUUGGGCGUAAAGAGCGUGUAGGCGGUCCGGUAAGUCGGUUGUGAAAGUCCAGGGCUCAACCCUGGGAUGCCGAUCGAUACUGUCGGACUAGAGUUCGGAAGAGGCGAGUGGAAUUCCCGGUGUAGCGGUGAAAUGCGCAGAUAUCGGGAGGAACACCAAUGGCGAAGGCAGCUCGCUGGGCCGACACUGACACUGAGAGACGAAAGCUAGGGGAGCAAAUGGG
rnacentral:rRNA from 1 species